rnacentral:tmRNA from 2 species
GGGGCUGAUCGGUUUCGACUUGGGACGUUAGUUCCAGGGGAAGCGGGUCGAGAAGCCAGCGUUAUCUCGUUAACGAUCGCUGGAACCUUAUAGUUGCCAACGUUAAGCGCAACGACUUCGCUCUCGCUGCCUGAGCAGUGAUCGAAGGGUCUGACCGGGCAUCCGUCCUCGUCCCGGAUCCAGGCCUCAUCUAGAGGACUUGCUGCUCACUCUCUGUCAGGAGGGGUGGGUGGGACUUUUUCCUGACUGAGCCCGUCGGUGAUGUGUCUGUGCAAGCACCGGGGCCGAGAAAAGCGUCAACACCGACUACACCCGUAGAAGACCUGGAUCGGCGCUCGAGGACCGGGGUUCGAUUCCCCGCAGCUCCACCA